rnacentral:lncRNA from 1 species
AAAAAAACCACGGCCGUUGUCAAAACCGACAACCAGAGAAUAAACACUAUGUGAAAAUUAUUACAACACAUAGACUUCACUCUCAAUCACCCCAUGCCCCAAUACACCCACACUCUCCAAAGUAAAUAUUUGAACUACAUCUCAAAUACUCUUAAACAAGAGCAUAAGAGAAAAGCAAAAAGACACAAAUAUAAACUUAAAGUGUUUACAAGUGUUACUGCUUGGUGCAAUUAUAAACAAAGAACUUAGGUCCAUUAUCUAGCUUUGAUUUCCUCCUUGCUUCAUAAUUCUAAGCGAUGUGGGACUUACAUUGCAAUCAAUCCCAACAAUCUCCACCUUGAUUGUAAUGGUCUUCAAUCUUCAUUGUCUACACCGACAAUCAUUAUCUUCUGCUUCCAUUGUCUAUACCGACAAUCAUUGUCUUCACCGACAAUCAUAAUUCUCAUUGUCUAUACCGACAAAUUAAAUUAUCAUACUCCACCAUAAAAAGUACACUCCACUUGGAACUAAACCAUCCCAAGAUUUUGCUUCACUUGGAACCAAGCCAUCCCAAGACCAAGAAUUUCAUCUCGAAACUUCGCUGAAAAUUUAUGGUGCAACUUCCAUGUUGGCUUUCUCCGGAAGUUCAUCAGCCAUCGAGAUAACCGCAUACCUUGCAUCAAUGUCAACCAAUGCCCGCACGCUAUCAUCACACACCUUGCAUCCAUGUCAACCGAUGUCCAUGUGCCACCUGAACAAUUUCAAACUGCUAUGAAGCUACCUUCACGCCAUUGUUAGGCUCCAACAAUUCCAGUUUAGUUACAUCACCUAGUAAACCUUGUUUCACUAGUCCAACUAAACUCAUGUCACUAACAAGUACCCAUCCGAAGAUCCACAACUUAACCAAAACAUGAGAAUCACCACUAGUAAUAGAUGCAUAACCAAUAAUAGUAUAACUAUCUAACAAGUAUCUACCUACUAUCUAUGUAUCAAAGUUCAAGAAAAUACCUCGCAUUGUGUUAAAAGAAACUCACUCAUACCUUGAACCUUACAAGCUUUCCGUCACCAAGAUGAACAACUCCACCUUCAACUAGCUANNNNNNNNNNNNNNNNNNNNNNNNNNNNNNNNNNNNNNNNNNNCACAUGUGAUAGGAGCUUCCAAAGUCCAUAUGACUCAACACUCCACCGAUUCUCAACUUCCACUAGCACCUUCGCAUCCUCAUAAUAAGUUGUUGUUUCAGACGUAACCCCAGUAUUGUAACACCCAAACCCAAUAUUAGCCUUAUUCUACCUUUAGAAUCUUAUUUUCAAAAAUUACGCAGCAGAUCAAAUAAAGUCAAAGACUUAAAUCAAAAAGAUUGAUAAAAUAUUGGUUCGAGAUAUUACAAAUUACUUCAAAACCUUACUAAUAACAUUAAUUGGUAGAAUACGAGUUUAAACAAAUCUUUGAAUUAAAUAAAGUAUUAUUAAUUAUACAAAAUAAUUAAGACUAGAGGACUCUACAUAUAUAAAAUCCCUUUUUCCCGUGUCACAAUCAGAGCGGAGCUUCAUCAAUACUCGAACACACGACCUGAGAACCUGGACCCCCAAAGGUCCAGCACAUACACAAAACAGAGAGUUAGCANNNNNNNNNNNNNNNNNNNNNNNNNNNNNNNNNNNNNNNNNNCCACACUUGAGUAAAUAAAAGUAAGGCAUAAGCAUAUAUGUUCAUACACAAUUCUAUCUAAUAAGCAUACUCAUUAACAAUAUAGCAUAGCGAAUUAGAUAACAAAUACAAACAUAAUUAUCAAAGAAACACUUAUGUUAAAUCAAUGACAAUUAUCAAGCAUCAAGUACAAAGGACACAUAAUUCCUAAAUGCACACUAAUGUCAAUUAGAAAUGUAUGUCUCCUAAUGCAUAUCUAAUGCAUGUGGUACCAUUCCUUUUUUUUGGAUAAACUUAUAUCUCUUUGCAUCUCUCAUUUGCUUACCAAAGCGGUUAUGCAUUUGACCAAUUACAUUGGAUUUCCAACCUUACCAAAGGUCAAUCAUACAACAUGAGUGCAUGAAAUGUUCACAUAGCAAUUAUAUGAUAUUUACACCUACACAUAUACCAAUAUGUAUGUACACUAUCAAUCAUAAUUAUCAUUCCAAUUAAUUAUCAACUCCAUGAUUAAUUAACAAUUCAUAUUAUGAUUCAAUCACAAACAUCAUUGUCAAACAUAAUGCAUUUAUUCCAUCAAUCAACAAUCCAAUUAUCAUUGAAUAGAAUACUAGCAUAUAUUCCUAAUUAUUCAAUCAUUUGAAUUCACAAAACUCAUUUUCUUUCCAAAUCAUGCUUCUAACAUAAUAUAUUCUUAACAAGCAAGCAUUAUUCCAGAAAACUAACUUCAGAUUCGGAAUCUACACAAAAAACUGUGAAAGAUAGGUUCCAGGUGCAUGAACCGUCGGAAAGUCAACACUCAGUCAACAGUCAAGGGGUCAACAGUCAAACUGUCAAACCAACAGUUGCGUCGGUCAUAGCGUCGAUAAGUUUCGACGCAAGGACCUGUUCAUACUGCAUAAUUAUUACGCAGAAGAAUUAGCGACGCCAUAGCGUCGACCUAUUCGACGCAAACACUAUGUUGCAUAUUUUCAGAAAAACGCGUUUUGAACAUGGGUUUGACCCAAAAGUGCUUAUUUUCACCAAAAUCACUUAUUUGAACUUAGGAAAAGCACAUACACUUAAUACCCAACGUAUAACUCAUAUAAAACAACUUAAACAUAAGUUAAAAAACACCAAAUCAUCAAGAUUAAUCAUUUAUCUUUAAGUUAUUAGAUUUUAUCAUAAAUCUCAAAACCCACCAUUUUUGCAAAGCUUGAACAAUCAAUCAAAAGCAAUGACAUCAUAUAUGCAUCAACAAGGAAUAUAAACACAUUCCCAAUUCCCAAAUUAACCACAACUCAUAGAGAUGAAAGAGUUUAGGUAUGGAGAAGAAAGGUUUUUCUCUCCUCUUUAUGAACCAUCUCAAAAUGAAUAAAUUACUACUCUCAUACCUUAUUGAUGUUGGAUUCUCUAGUCCUUCAUCUCCUAGCUCUUCUUCUUCAAUCUUCUCCUCUACUUAGCUUUCCUCUUCACUCUUUGUUCUUUCUCUUCUUUUCUCUUUAUCUAUUCUUUCUUGAGAGCUUCUCUUUCUACCUCCAUCAAAAUCAUAAUUUAUGACAACCUCUCUCUAACUUGGUCCUUAUAUAGUUAGGUUUACUCCCUUAUUCUUUUACUAAAAUACCCCUCUACUAAAUGGGCCUAAAACAUAUUCUAACACCACUUCCCUCAUUCUAUUCUUAAUGAGUUAUUUCUAUUAAAAACACGUAAACCAACAAUUAACACAGAAUUAAUUAAUNNNNNNNNNNNNNNNNNNNNNNNNNNNNNNNNNNNNNNNNNNNNNNNNNNNNUAAACCAACAAUUAACACAUAAUUAAUUAAUUACAUUAAAAACCACAAAUAAAAUAAAUGCAAAUAAUCAAUUAAUUACUAAUAAUUAAAUUUGGGUCGUUACAAGUAUUCUUAGCACCGCCUCUCCAGACUGAUGUCGAGUAUUAUUACCACCGCCUCUCCUAGCUGACCUUGUGUAACCCUAAUUGCAUCAACACAUCCUUGACUUGAUUUUCUAUAAGCCAAAUAUCAAUUUUCUCUAGCCUAAACUUCAACGCAGAACUCCCUCCUCCUGAAUCAAACCAAGAGCUCUGAUAUCAGUUGUUGGGAAAAAACGGCAUAGAGAAAAUAAAUGAACGCGAUCAACAACACAAGAAUAUAACGUGGAAACUCCAAAUCGGAGAAAAAAAACCACGGCCGUUGUCAAAACCGACAACCAGAGAAUAAACACUAUGUGAAAAUUGUUACAACACAUAGACUUCACUCUCAAUCACCCCAUGCCCCAAUACACCCACACUCUCCAAAGUAAAUAUUUGAACUACAUCUCAAAUACUUCUAAACAAGAGCAUAAGAGAAAAUCAAAAAGACACAAAUAUAGACUUAAAGUGUUUACAAGUGUUACUGCUUGGUGCAAUUAUAAACAAAGAACUUAGGUCCAUUAUAUAGCUUUGAUUUCCUCCUUGCUUCACAAUUCUAAGCGAUGUGGGACUUUCAAUAGCUAUUUUUUAAUCUCCUUCUUUUUCUUCAUUAGCAAUGUGAAACUUACAUUGCAA